GAUAUGUUACAUUACACGGCAAAAGGGAGUUUGUAGAUAUAAUUAAGGUAAUAGACCUUAACUUAUGCAGAGUCUUCUGGGUUAUCCAGGUGGGUCCAAUGUAAUCACGUGAGUGCUUAAAAGCAGAAGAGGACGUCUGAAGAUGAAAGCGAAGGGAUGUGGCAGACGGGGGAGUCAGAGAGAUUCCCGGGGUGAAAGGUAUUUGAGGUGUUAUUGCAGGCUCUGAGACAUGAAGGCCAUGUGCAGUAACUGGAGAAAGGCUUCUAGGAGCUCAUCCAAAGCAUCAGAAGGUACACAGACAGGCUCUAGGAGCAAAGACUGGUCCCUGGUGACAGCCAGCGAGGAGUUGGGAACCUCAGUCCUACAGCCACAAGGAACUGAAUUCAUCCAACAACUUGAAAGAGCUUGGAAGCAGAUUCAUCCCCGAGCCUCUGCGACACUAUGAAAGGAAUACAAGUACCAGAAGAUGGGAUCAUUAGGGGGCUGCAGACCACACUGAGUCUGUGCAGAGAAUGAAUGAUUUUCUCAUAUAAACUCAGCACAUUCUCAGCACCUGGUUUACCUGGGAAUGAAAAGCUCCCUCUGCCAAUACUAAAUUAUCCCAAUGUCCCUGCACUGUUACAAGAGGAAUGGUCAAAUUUAUCGUCAAGAGCCACCACUAGAAAUUAGAAAUGUCCUGAAAAGAAAAGGAGAUAGAGGGGGACAUAAUUCUUCAGGGUCCUUUCAUUGUUUAUGGGUUUGUUUGGUGAGUUGUUUAUCAUGAUGUUGCCAUGGCUUAAGUAGCUUUGCCAAGGGCUGAAUUUGCGCUCUCAGAUGUUGAGCCUAAUGUAAAUAAGGCAGCUGCUCCACUUGGGCUUGAUAAUUCCUGGGUGGAUGAAGAAUAGGGAACAGGUGGAAGGGCAACUGUAAUGACUCUUGAAUAGCUGGGCAACCGUUGAUGGCAAAGAAAGCUCUAAUUUGCUCCAUAUUUAGGAAUACUGUACCAAAUUGUGCUAACUUCUGUUGGUUUUUUUUUUUUUGUGCUUCACAAAAUUGGCCACAUGAAAGAUACCUGAGAAGCUUUUAGAAAUACUUAUUCCUAAGCCUCAUCACCAGAGAUUCUGAUUAAAUUAAUUAAGGUGGAGAUAAAGAAUCAAGCCCUUCUUUCUGGAAACUUUCCUCCAGAAUUGGUUUAGAUUGAAUCAUUCUUGUCACUAUAAAGAUCAAGCUGACCACUGGCCAACUUGCUGUUCCCAUGGAAAAGAACCUCAGAGAGUAAUGAAGAGCUCUACUUCUGUGCCUGACACAUAAAGGCUCUCAGAUAACACUUGUUGAAUUAGUAGAUGAAUAAAAUAAUACAUACUGAUGCUCAGUUGGAGGUACCGUAAAACUGCACCUGGUUUUAAUGAUCAGAUCGUGGAGUGACUUUAGGGUGGUCUUAAUAUUGAAUGAUUUACAUUUAAAAUCCAAAGGUUAGUUCCUUGUAUUCACGGGGAUGGCCUAAGGAUCAAAUGGAAAUUAUAAAAAAUUCCAAAAAUUUAUUACACUUUUCUACAUCGCACUGCCAUUUGAAGAGUCUUUUGUCUUUUCUACUGACAAUACAAGGAAUCUCUUCUAGAUCUUUAUCAUUUAAGGGCAGACAGCAUGCAGGAAAAGUAUUGAAAUGUCUUUUAUAGAGAGUUGUAGUAACGUUAGGAGACUUAUGGAAAGCACCGGCAAAUGUGUAGUAUGCCUUAAAAGUGACUGCACUUUAAACUACAGAAAGGAAAGGAGAGAUUUUCUGGAUGUCUUCUGCAGGUCCCAUUCGGUUUUUGAUAAUACAUAAAAUAUUGAGUAUUUUUGUGUUUUGUAUUUGCAGCUCUAGAAUUGGAAUUCAUGGCACCCAAGAAUCUAAUUUAUUUUCCAAGACCCGUUUUUGAACCCAGCUUCUGACUUCUUGCUCAUACUGUCAAAUAUCCCUAAGAAAUUCCCUCUCCCCCCUCUGCCACUUCCCAUUGCAAAGCCUGACUUCCCUUUUAGCUCAGGUGACAACAGGUGGUUAUUUUGUGAAUGCCAUUUUUUUCCUUGUUAAGCCUGUGGUUAUGUGUCAGUUUCCAGGAUUUCCAUUACCAAAACCAUCCCUCCCUCAAAAGUUCUAUUUUUAAAUAUCCUUUUAACUUUGGCUUGCUCUCCAUUAGCUGACCCGUCUUUUGACUUUUCUGUUCUAAGAAUAGAGGUAAGGACAAAAAGAUGCCGAGGGUUAUGUUAGUUUAUACUUGUUCCAAAGUGAUGUUGACCACAGGGAAUGCAUCACACCCUGUGUAUCCCAACCAGGAAAAAAAGUAUAAAGGAGCAGCUGCCAACUUUUCAGAAACAUGAUAGCCUUCCCUCCUCCUGCAAAUGGUUUUGUGAUUUGGUGGAAACAUAGCAAUUUAAAACCUUAGCUCAGUUGGGCUUGUCACCCACUUAACAACUGACUUCUGGCUUCUAUUACACUACGUAUUCAUUGCUGUUAAGAUGAGGUAGUGCUUUUCUUGGAUAGUUUGAAAAUUAUUAGAAUAAUUUUGAAUGUUUGUUUCAGUAUGGACCUCAAAAAAGAUAGCUGUUGUUGAUGUCAUCAUAAGCAGUUGUUGGAAGCUCUGGACCUUACAGUUUAAUAAAAAUAUUAGGAAAGGACAAAAUCAAUUAGCUUGAGAUAGUUGUAUAGAAAAUAAGGCUGCAUAGGGAGGGAGUAGAGGAGAUAGGGAGAGGAGUAGAAAUGGGAGAAUAAGGCUUGGAUAGAGAGUAUAUCAAUUUUUGCUGGUAUCUUCAAACUCUAUCGGUUUUCUCUUUAACAUGUAAUUAAAUGUAAGCCUCUCAUUUUGGAAAAUAAAACUCUCCUUUAGACUAUCCUCAUUCAAUAAUCCUCUUCUGUAUUUUCCUUUCAAAGUGCCUGAAAGAACAAUGUCUUGUCUUCACCGUUCCCGUUUGCUUCUCCACCCAGUGCAAUCUAUCUUUCUCCUCCAUAGCUAUUCCAUAACUGCUUCUGUCAAGGGGCCUGGCAAUCUCGAAUUUUCUUCACAUCAUUUGAAGAUAUGGAUCACUGCUUCUCUCUCUCCUCUCCUGGCUUCUUGUAUCCCACUCUCACCCCAUUCUCCAUUCAUCUCUUUGGCCACUCCUUCUUCAAGUCUCCUUAGUGAGUUUGCCUUCCUUGUCUGCCUAUAGGUGUAGUGUGCUCUAGUUCCCAGGCCACUCUUCUCUCAUUUGAAACAUUCUCCUGCAUUUUAUUUUUUCUACACUCAGAAUUUUGGCUAUCAUCUCUAUUUUUUUUUUAUUGAAUAUAUUUGAUGUAUAACAUUAUGAAAAUUUAAGAUGUACAACUUGUUACUUUGAUACAUAUGUUGUAAUAGCCAUUGUAGUGAUAUUUAUCACAUCACAUAAUUGUAGUACGAUAUUGUCUAUAUUCAUUAUACUAUGUGUUGGAUCUCUAUGGCUUAUUUACUACUUAUUGCAAGUUUGUACCCUUAAACAGCAUCAAUCCUAUCCCCCCACCCUCCACUCCCUGGGAACCACCAUUUUACUGUUUUUUAUGAUUUUUGACUUUUUUAGAUUCCACAUAUAAGUGAUAUCAUACUUUUUCUCUGUCUGACUUAUCUCACUUAGCAUAAUAUGCUCAAGGUCCAUCCAUGUUGUUGCAAAUGGCAGGAUAUCCUCCUUUCUUAUGGCUGAAUAAUAUUCCGUUGUGUAUAUAUACCACAUCUUUUUUUAUCCAUUCAUCUGUUGAUGGACAUUAGGUUGUUUUCAUAUCUUGGCUGUUAUGAAUAAUGCUGCAAUAAACAUGGGAGCACAUA
rnacentral:lncRNA from 1 species